CAGGGUGUAGCGCAGCCUGGUAGCGCACGUGCCUUGGGCGCACGAGGUCGUGAGUUCGAAUCUCACCACCCUGACCA
rnacentral:tRNA from 2 species